UACAGAGGUCCCAAGCGUUGUUCGGAUUCAUUGGGCGUAAAGGGUGCGUAGGCGGCGCGGUAAGUCGGGUGUGAAAUCUUGGAGCUUAACUCCGAAACUGCAUUCGAUACUGCCGUGCUUGAGGACUGGAGAGGAGACUGGAAUUUACGGUGUAGCGGUGAAAUGCGUAGAUAUCGUAAGGAAGACCAGUGGCGGAAGGCGGGUCUCUGGACAGUUCCUGACGCUGAGGCACGAAGGCCAGGGGAGCAAACGGG
rnacentral:rRNA from 1 species